rnacentral:tRNA from 1 species
GGGGAUUUAGCUCAGUGGUAGAGCACUUGCCUAGCAAGCAUGAGGCCCUGGGUUCGGUCCUCAGCUCUG